UACAUAGGUAGCGAGCGUUAUCCGGAAUAACUGGGCGUAAAGGGAGUGUAGGUGGCCAAAUAAGUUAGAUGUGAAAGACCGUAGCUUAACUACGGAAAUGCAUUUAAUACUGUAUGGCUAGAGUAUGACAGAGGUAAACGGAAUUUCUAGUGUAGCGGUUAAAUGCGUAGAGAUUAGGAAGAACACCAGAGGCGAAAGCGGUUUACUAGGUCAAUACUGACACUGAGGCUCGAAAGCGUGGGGAGCAAAC
rnacentral:rRNA from 1 species